rnacentral:rRNA from 1 species
AUUGAACGCUGGCGGCAGGCCUAACACAUGCAAGCCGAGCGGAUGAGAGGAGCUUGCUUCUCGAUUCAGCGGCGGACGGGUGAGUAAUGCCUAGGAAUCUGCCUGGUAGUGGGGGACAACGUUUCGAAAGGAACGCUAAUACCGCAUACGUCCUACGGGAGAAAGCAGGGGACCUUCGGGCCUUGCGCUAUCAGAUGAGCCUAGGUCGGAUUAGCUAGUUGGUGAGGUAAUGGCUCACCAAGGCGACGAUCCGUAACUGGUCUGAGAGGAUGAUCAGUCACACUGGAACUGAGACACGGUCCAGACUCCAGCGGGAGGCAGCAGUGGGGAAUAUUGGACAAUGGGCGAAAGCCUGAUCCAGCCAUGCCGCGUGUGUGAAGAAGGUCUUCGGAUUGUAAAGCACUUUAAGUUGGGAGGAAGGGUUGUAGAUUAAUACUCUGCAAUUUUGACGUUACCGACAGAAUAAGCACCGGCUAACUCUGUGCCAGCAGCCGCAGUAACAC